CCCUUAGAUGUUCUGGGCCGCACGCGUGCUACACUGAUGCAUGCAACGAGUUUAUAACCUUGGCCUGAAAGGUCUGGGUAAUCUUUUGAACGUGCAUCGUGAUAGGGAUAGAUUAUUGCAAUUGUUAAUCUUGAACGAGGAAUUCCUAGUAAACGCGAGUCAUCAGCUCGCAUUGAUUACGUCCCUGCCCUUUGUACACACCGCCCGUCGCACCUACCGAUUGAAUGGUUCGGUGAAGAUCUCGGACUUCGAUAUUUAUUCUUUAUUGAGUUUAUAUUGUGGGAAGUUAUCUAAACCUCAUCAUUUAGAGGAAGGUGAAGUCGUAACA
rnacentral:rRNA from 1 species